GGUCAUUUGUUGACAUAAAUGUACACAGUGACGCAAAGGAUGAGAAUAAAUAUUAUAUAUAUGGAAUCUUGUCAAGCUUACAGGAAACGGACACAAGUUCAGUGUGAAACGUUAACAGUAAUUCUAAUAGAUUUUAUGUCAUUUUUCUGAAACAUUUAAUUUCCGCAAUAGACAGUUAUACAUGUUAUAGAAAGAAAAGUGACGAC
rnacentral:lncRNA from 1 species